rnacentral:rRNA from 1 species
UAAGGAAUAUUGGUCAAUGGGCGCAAGCCUGAACCAGCCAUGCCGCGUGCAGGAAGACGGCCCUAUGGGUUGUAAACUGCUUUUGUCAGGGAAUAAACCCCCGCUCGUGAGCGGGGCUGAAGGUACCUGAAGAAUAAGCAUCGGCUAACUCCGUGCCAGCAACCGCGGUAAUACGGAGGAUGCAAGCGUUAUCCGGAUUCAUUGGGCUUAAAGGGUGCGCAGGCGGAUUGGUAAGUCAGGGGUGAAAUCCCACAGCUCAACCGGGAAACUGCCGUUGAUACCGCCGUUCUAGAGUACAGUUGGGGUGGGCGGAAUGUGUCAUGUAGCGGUGAAAUGCUUAGAUAUGACACAGAACACCGAUCGCGAAGGCAGCUCACCAAGUUGUAACUGACGCUCAUGCACGAAAGCGUGGGGAUCAAACAG